AUCACUCCGCGAGGGUGGUUAUUGGCCCGCUGCUUCAUUGCGUAAUAUAGCAGGCGGCGGAUGAAUACACGAGCCUCACACGACCUACUUUACCUUGUGAUUAGUACUGUUUUUACCAAUUUAAACCUACAUAUUAAUGCCCUGACAUUCGAAUAACAACGACGAAUCACAACAUGUAUCGACAUAUCACCUAACAUAGUAUAUUUAAUGUUUUUUAAACAUAUGUCCAUUUCUCUUUGAUUCUAGAAUUUUCUACUAGGAAGUCAGAAAAAAAGGCAACCGGAAGCUCCACGUUAGUAACUAGCAACUUGGACUAAAACAAGUGACCGUCAGCUGGCCUGACUUUAGAGACCUUUGCCUUUUGGGGGAACCGGAGCGAUCCAAAUGACCUAGUGUACCGUCUGGCACCUGGUUGGUCUUUGGAGUGCCACACCCAAACUUAUUGAGUCAUAAGUCAUAAGAACAGCACUCGGGUGAGGGUGUUCACGCCCAACUACAAGUUUACACAAAGGUCUGCAGCUGUUUCAAAACCACAUUGUUGGACGAUGUUGCCCUUCUCCAGUCAGGAGGGUCAAGAAAAUCCACACCCACGACCUUGACCUGUGCUCCUUGAUGUCUGCUGUCACCUUGUGGCUGGACUAGCUUACAGCAUCUUUCUC